CGGAUAGCUCAGUUGGUAGAGCAUGAGACUCUUAACCUCAGGUUCAUGGGUUCAAGCCCCACGUUGGGGGAAAGA